rnacentral:lncRNA from 1 species
GGGGAACUUCGAGUCUCACUCCUCUCCUCGGUGCCUUUGUCGCCGACUCCUUCGCCGGCCGCUUUUGGACCAUCACGUUCGCUUCGAUCAUCUACCAAAUAGUAUGUUAAUAUAUAACUUGUAUUCAAAAAAAUGUAUGAGAAGUCACUCAACCAUUGGUUCUAACGAGUAAGUAAAUAAACAAAACAGGGGAUGACACUACUGACCAUAUCAGCAAUACUUCCGACGCUAAGGCCACCACCAUGUAAAGGAGAAGAGGUUUGUGUAGUAGCAGACACAGCACAGUUGAGUGUACUGUACAUAGCUCUUCUUCUUGGAGCUCUCGGGUCGGGUGGGAUCCGACCUUGUGUUGU